rnacentral:rRNA from 1 species
GUGGGGAAUUUUGGACAAUGGGCGAAAGCCUGAUCCAGCAAUGCCGCGUGUGUGAAGAAGGCCUUCGGGUUGUAAAGCACUUUUGGCAGGGAAGAAACAGUGCGUGCUAAUACCAUGCGCGAAUGACGGUACCUGCAGAAUAAGCACCGGCUAACUACGUGCCAGCAGCCGCUGUAAUACGUAGGGUGCAAGCGUUAAUCGGAAUUACUGGGCGUAAAGCGUGCGCAGGCGGCUUUGUAAGACGGAUGUGAAAGCCCCGGGCUCAACCGGGGAAGUGAAGUCGUGAAUAGAAGGCUAGAGUGUGUAAGAGGGAGGUGGAAUUCCGCGUGUAGCAGUGAAAUGCGUAGAGAUGCGGAGGAACACCGAUGGCGAAGGCAGCCUCCUGGGCCUGUACUGACGCUCAUGCACGAAAGCGUGGGGAGCAAACAGGAUUAGAAACCCCAGUAGUCC